CACGGACUUCGGUCUGGUGGCGAGUGGCGAACGGGUGAGUAAUAUAUCGGAACGUAUCCAAUAAUGGGGGAUAACUAAUCGAAGGUUGGCUAAUACCGCAUACGCCCUACGGGGGAAAGCUAGGGAUCUUCGGACCUGGCGUUAAUGGAGCGGCCGAUAUCUGAUUAGCUAGUUGGUGAGGUAAGAGCUCACCAAGGCGACGAUCAGUAGCUGGUCUGAGAGGACGACCAGCCACACUGGAACUGAGACACGGUCCAGACUCCUACGGGAGGCAGCAGUGGGGAAUUUUGGACAAUGGGCGCAAGCCUGAUCCAGCCAUUCCGCGUGAGUGAAGAAGGCCUUCGGGUUGUAAAGCUCUUUCGCAAGGGAAGAAAACUUAGUCUCUAACAUAGACUGAGGUUGACGGUACCUUGAUAAGAAGCACCGGCUAACUACGUGCCAGCAGCCGCGGUAAUACGUAGGGUGCGAGCGUUAAUCGGAAUUCUGGGCGUAAAGCGUGCGCAGGCGGUUUUGUAAGUCAGAUGUGAAAU
rnacentral:rRNA from 1 species